AUCCAGCUGAAAAGUUCCAAAUAGGACGAAACGUGCAUCCUGGAU
rnacentral:hammerhead_ribozyme from 1 species